rnacentral:rRNA from 1 species
AUUGAACGCUGGCGGCAUGCCUUACACAUGCAAGUCGAACGGCAGCACGGGUGCUUGCACCUGGUGGCGAGUGGCGAACGGGUGAGUAAUACAUCGGAACAUGUCCUGUAGUGGGGGAGAGCCCGGCGAAAGCCGGAUUAAUACCGCAUACGAUCUACGGAUGAAACAGGGGGACCUUCGGGCAUCGCGCAAUAGGGCUCUCCGAUGGCUGAUUAGCUAGUUGGUGGGGUAAAGGCCUACCAAGGCGACGCUCAGUAGCUGUUCUGAGAGGACGACCAGCCACACUGGAACGGAGACACGGCCCAGACUCCUACGGGAGGCAGCAGUGGGGAAUUUUGGACAAUGGGCGAAGGCCUGAUCCAGCAAUGCCGCGUGUGUGAAGAAGGCCUUCGGGUUGUAAAGCACUUUUGUCCGGAAAGAAAUCCUUGGCCCUAAUACGGUCGGGGGAUGACGGUACCGUAAGAAUAAGCACCGGCUAACUACGUG